rnacentral:rRNA from 1 species
AGUGAACGCUGGCGGUAGGCCUAACACAUGCAAGUCGAACGGCAGCACAGUAAGAGCUUGCUCUUACGGGUGGCGAGUGGCGGACGGGUGAGGAAUACAUCGGAAUCUACUUUUUCGUGGGGGAUAACGUAGGGAAACUUACGCUAAUACCGCAUACGACCCACGGGUGAAAGCAGGGGAUCUUCGGACCUUGCGCGAUUGAAUGAGCCGAUGUCGGAUUAGCUAGUUGGCGGGGUAAAGGCCCACCAAGUCGACGAUCGGUAGCUGGUCUGAGAGGAUGGUCAGCCACACUGGAACUGAGACGCGGUCCAGACUCCUGCGGGAGGCAGCAGUGGGGAAUAUUGGGCAAUGGGCGCAAGCCUGAUCCAGCCAUACCGCGUGGGUGAAGAAGGCCUUCGGGUUGUAAAGCCCUUUUGUUGGGAGAGAAACGCAGCAGGUUAAUACCCCGCUGUUCUGACGGUACCCAAAGAAUAAGCACCGGCUAACUUCGUG